AUUGAACGCUGGCGGCAAGCCUAACACAUGCAAGUCGAACGAGUGGCGGAAGGGUGAGUAAUGUCUGGGAAACUGCAUGAUGGAGGGGGAUAAAUACUGGAAACGGUAGCUAAUAACGCAUACCAUCGGAUGGGACCAGAAGGGAAUAGCUAGUAGGUGGGGUAAAGGCUCACCUAGGCGACGAUCCCUAGCUGGUCUGAGAGUAUGACCAGCCACACUGGAACUGUGACACGGUCCAGAUUCCGACGGGAGGCAGCAGUGGGGAAUAUUGCACAAUGGGCGCAAGCCUGAUGCAGCCAUGCCGCGUGUAUGAAGAAGGCCUUCGGGUUGUAAAGUACUUUCAGCGGGGAGGCGUUACCCGCAGAAGAAGCACCGGCUAACUCCGUGCCAGCAGCCGCGGUAAUAC
rnacentral:rRNA from 1 species